AACUCACAGCUCUCAGUAUAAAGUCUGAAUCAUGAAAAACGAACUCAUCUGAUUUUUAAUGAAAAAUGAAUAAAACUAUGUUAAAUAUACUUCCCUCUGCCUUGUCAUUGGUCACUGUAACAGGCCCGCCCCGGAAGUGUUUGUUGAAGAAGAAGAAGAAGAAGAAGAAGAAGAAGAAGAAGAAGAAGAAGAAGAAGAAGAAGAAGAAGAAGAAGAAGAAGAAGAAGAAGAAGAAGAAGAAGAAGAAAAUAAGUCGGAGACCGUUUACCGGCUACCGGCGGGGCUUCAUCGGGAACACGUGCUCCCUGAAGCCGGACUCCGGUCAGAAAACCGCUGAAGGAGCGGAACAUCCAGGUUCUUUUUGUCCUGCAGGUCUGAUGGAGGUCGACAUCCUGGAGUUCAAAGUCCCCGUAGAGAACCACAAGACCCUGUUUGUGUGGGACAUCCAACCGGAUCACACGGAGGCCCAGGUCUACGCUGGACUGCUGGACGUGUUCUCGUCCUUCGGGCCGCUCCACCUGCUGAAGGUGUGUCCUAACUCCGCCCUCCACCCUCCGGGGUUCUACGCCCUCAUCAGGUUCUACUCGGCCUCUCAGGCCUCAGAGGCUCAGCGCCACACUGACGGACGCCCGCUGAUCCAGAACCUUCCACUCAAGGUAAGGCUGAGCUCCAAACACACUCACUACCUGUCUGACAAUGGCAGACCUCUGAGCCACGCCCACUGCCUGGAACUGGCCAAUCACUACUUGGGAUUCAACGGCUGGACCUUUGACAUCAUCACACUGAAGGAGCUCCCCAACUUCGAGGAGGAGACGCAGCAGGAGGAAGAAAGCAGAUGGAGGAGACUGAAGUUUGGCUGUAUGCUGCAGCUCUCCUUCCCUCAUCACGGCCUGACGACCAGAGGAGCAGCAAUGGUGGAGGACGGCUUCACCUGCACAGGUAGGACGGAGAGAGGUGAGGACGGCUUCACCCGGAGAGGUGAGGACGGAGAGAGGUAGGACGGCUUCACCCGGAGAGGUGAGGACGGCUUCACCUGGAGAGGUGAGGACGGAGAGAGGUGAGGACGGCUUCACCCCGAGAGGUGAGGACGGCUUCACCCGGAGAGGUGAGGACGGAGAGAGGUGAGGACGGCUUCACCUGGAGAGAGGUGAGUCCGUCUGUCGUGAAGACGAUGGACCAGAACCCCGUCUCCAGGAAGUUAAAGACAUUGUCCUUGUGGUCUCUGCAGGUCCAGAUGUUCUGCUCCAGAACCGUAGAAAACUCCAGAAGAGGGUCAGAGAGAAAGCUCUGGUCCAGGCCUUCUCCUCAGUACUGCUCAUACUACUAGGUGACGGUAGAGUGAUGGUGGAGCU